rnacentral:rRNA from 1 species
GACGAACGCUGGCGGCGUGCUUAACACAUGCAAGUCGAACGGAAAGGCCCUGCUUUUGUGGGGUGCUCGAGUGGCGAACGGGUGAGUAACACGUGAGUAACCUGCCCUUGACUUUGGGAUAACUUCAGGAAACUGGGGCUAAUACCGGAUAGGAGCUCCUGCUGCAUGGUGGGGGUUGGAAAGUUUCGGCGGUUGGGGAUGGACUCGCGGCUUAUCAGCUUGUUGGUGGGGUAGUGGCUUACCAAGGCUUUGACGGGUAGCCGGCCUGAGAGGGUGACCGGGCAAAUUGGGAAUGAGAGAAGGGCCAGACUCCUACGGGAGGCAGCAGUGGGGAAUAUUGCACAAUGGGCGGAAGCCUGAUGCAGCAACGCCGCGUGCGGGAUGAGGGCCUUCGGGUUGUAAACCGCUUUCGCCUGUGACGAAGCGUGAGUGACGGUAAUGGGUAAAGAAGCAACGGCUAACUACGUG